CACUUUGGAGCAGGACAGGAACAAGUGGGGAACCUGGGCAUGCAGAUACACUGUUACUCACCUGGGGCUGAGAGGCCAGAUUCAUCUUGUAAGGAUGCG